GCAAGUCGAACGCUUGCCUUCGGGGAGGAGCGGCGGACGGGUUAGUAACGCGUGGGAACAUACCCUUUUCUAAGGAAUAGCCAUUGGAAACGAUGAGUAAUACCUUAUACGCCCUUCGGGGGAAAGAUUUAUCGGUUAAGGAUUGGCCCGCGUUAGAUUAGAUAGUUGGUGGGGUAACGGCCUACCAAGGCUACGAUCUAUAGCUGGUUUGAGAGGAUGAUC
rnacentral:rRNA from 1 species